CCUACGGGAGGCUGCAGUGGGGAAUCUUGCACAAUGGGGGAAACCCUGAUGCAGCGACGCCGCGUGAGCGAUGAAGCCCUUCGGGGUGUAAAGCUCUUUCGGCAGGAACGAUCAUGACGGUACCUGCAGAAGAAGCUGCGGCUAACUACGUGCCAGCAGCCGCGGUAAUACGUAGGCAGCGAGCGUUGUUCGGAGUUACUGGGCGUAAAGAGUAUGUAGGCGGUUCUCCAAGUCUGGUGUGAAAUCUCCCGGCUCAACCGGGAGGGUGCAUUGGAAACUGGGGGGCUGGAGUGCGGGAGAGGGAAGCGGAAUUCCUGGUGUAGCGGUGAAAUGCGUAGAUAUCAGGAGGAACACCCGCGGUGUAGACGGCUUCCUGGACCGUAACUGACGCUGAGAUACGAAAGCGUGGGGAGCAAACAGGAUUAGAUACCCCUGUAGUC
rnacentral:rRNA from 1 species